rnacentral:rRNA from 1 species
AUCAUUAUUGAAUAAACUUGAACGGGCUGUUUGCUGGCUCAUUAAGAAGAGCAUGUGCACGCUUGUCAUCUUUAUUUGUCCACUGUGCACAACUUGUAGAUCUGGAACGGUUUCUGAAAUUUUCUUUUCGAUUGAGGACUGCUGUGGCUUUAGCAAAAGGUCCAGCUUUGUUGCCCUUGCAUCUUUCAGAUCUAUGUUUUCACAAUCUCUGAAUGUGAUUUAGAAUGGUUUAAAGCAAAUAAUAAUAAUAAUAUUAUAACAACUUUCAGCAACGGAUCUCUUGGCUCUCGCAUCGAUGAAGAACGCAGCGAAAUGCGAUAAGUAAUGUGAAUUGCAGAAUUCAGUGAAUCAUCGAAUUUUUGAACGCAUCUUGCGCUCCUUGGUAUUCUGAGGAGCAUGCCUGUUUGAGUAUCAUAAAAGUUCUCAACCACAUUGAUUUUAAUGUGGAAUUGGAUGUGGGGGUAUUUGUUUGCAGGCUUUCUUUUUAAGUCAGCUCCCCUAAAAUAUAUUAGUAGUGUCUGAAGCAGACCCACUACAGAUGUGAUAACUAUCUACAUCAUAGUAGUAUACACUGCACGAUAUUGCUUCAAAUCAUUUAUAUCAUUUGACCAAUUUGAUCUCAAAUCAGGUAGGACUACCCGCUGAACUUAAGCAUAUCAAUAAGGCGGA